CCAACCUACUUCAGUUGUUGGGAUGUUUAGAUUUAAAGGUGGAACUUCACAAAUUCAACAAUAACAGGUAACUGCUCCCAAUAUUUUACCCUUUUGC